rnacentral:tRNA from 1 species
UGGACUGAUAGCUCAGUUGGUAGAGCAACGGACUCUUAAUCCGUGGGUCCAGGGUUCGAGCCCCUGUCGGUCCAUC